AUCCAGUGUCAGCGAAAUACUGACUUCACUAGUGGCUAAAACAUCCACCGAUAUGCCCAAAUCUUCAAAGGUUGAAAAUACCUUUGCAAGAAAGCCAUAUUGACCAAGCAUUCGUGUGCUAACAAUAUCCAACAUGGUCACAUUCCGUUUCAAAACAAUGCUGGUUAACACUGCCUUACUCAUAUCUCGUGUCCUGGUGAUGAGAGUUCCAGGAGCACAUGGGUUAUAAGAAUUCUUAACCCUAACAGGAAUAUCACCCUCUCUAGCAGGUCUCAUGGAUUGUGGAUGCAGAACCUGUGCACCAAAGUAUGCAAGUUCAGCUGCCUCAUCAAAUGUCAAGUACGGUACGGGUUCCGCAUGCGGAUAUAUAUUAGGAUCACAUGUCAAAACACCAUCAACAUCUUUCCACACCUGAAUCUCUCGCAAACCCAAUGCUUUUCCAAUGGUCGUGGCGGUCAAAUCACUACCACCCCUACCCAAUGUAGUAAUGGCACAGGAUCUCCAGCCCUUUCCAAGGAAGCCAGUAACAAUUGGAAUUGCAGAAUUAUUUAUCCAAUCCCCGUGUAACCUCUUUGCAACCGCUGGAUAAGUUGCUUCCAGAAUGUCUGCAUUUGUGAAGUCAUCUGUGGUGAUAAAACCAAUAUCGAAGGCAUCAUAUUGCAAGGCUUUUGCACCAAUUUUAUUCAAAUAUGCUGCAAAGAUCCUUGUGGACAUGCAUUCCCCAAAUGAAACUAGGUAAUCUCUUGUCCGCGGAGUCAACUCUUUCAUCAUAGCAAUUCCCUUCAAAAGUUGCUCCAGUUCUUCAAGGUGAGUAGAUAUAAUUGAUCGGUCUACUCCCAGCUCGUCUACAGUUCUGAGAUGCAAUUCCUUUAUGAAGCUCAGCUCAUCAAUAGCAUCUACAUUAGUUACUCCACAACAAACAGCCUUUUCUCCAGCCAAUAAAAGUUUGUUAGUCGUUUUUCCCAUGGCAGAUAGAACAAUGACAGGCCUCUCAUCUGGGAAGCUAAGUAUAAGGUCGGCAACUUCUCUCAUCCUCUCAGCAGAGGCCAAUGACGAGCCACCAAACUUCAUUACACACGUAAAUUGUUUCUCAGAUUCAGCUUCAUCAUCACUAAGAUACUCAAUUUUGUUCCUUUCAAGGACAUCAGACCUUCGUCCCUCACAACUGACUCUCGAAACUCUACUCGCACAAGAAAAUUUUACACUUGCACACAAUCCAGAACUCGGCGCAACAGAGUUAGCAAAAUCAAUGCGCUGUGGCAACGAAGCUUUACAAUGCAUCAGACUCUUUGGGAAAACGGGGCAGGCAACUUUACCACCACAAAAAUGCAACGCGGUUGCCAUUAUAGAUAAGCUAAUUACUCUUCCUAAUACAAAUUAACAAGAUAUUUCGAUGAAUGAAGGAAUAAACUUCACCUUCAGGAACUCGAUCUUUGAGACCGAGCUCCCAAGAGAAGAAGAAAUGCAACAGUCGGGUGGUUCUUAGGGUUUAUGGUUUAGGAGAUCUCGCAAUUCCUUGAGAG
rnacentral:misc_RNA from 1 species